GUGGGGAAUAUUGGACAAUGGGCGAAAGCCUGAUCCAGCCAUACCGCGUGGGUGAAGAGGGCCUUCGGGUUGUAAAGCCCUUUUGUUGGGAAAGAAAUCCUGUCGAUUAAUACUCGGUGGGGAUGACGGUACCCAAAGAAUAAGCACCGGCUAACUUCGUGCCAGCAGCCGCGGUAAUACGAAGGGUGCAAGCGUUACUCGGAAUUACUGGGCGUAAAGCGUGCGUAGGUGGUGGUUUAAGUCUGCUGUGAAAGCCCUGGGCUCAACCUGGGAAUUGCAGUGGAUACUGGAUCACUAGAGUGUGGUAGAGGGAUGCGGAAUUUCUGGUGUAGCAGUGAAAUGCGUAGAGAUCAGAAGGAACAUCCGUGGCGAAGGCGGCAUCCUGGGCCAACACUGACACUGAGGCACGAAAGCGUGGGGAGCAAACAGGAUUAGAUACCCGGGUAGUCC
rnacentral:rRNA from 1 species